UACGGAGGAUCCGAGCGUUAUCCGGAUUUAUUGGGUUUAAAGGGUGCGUAGGCGGCCUAUUAAGUCAGGGGUGAAAGACGGUAGCUUAACUAUCGCAGUGCCUUUGAUACUGAUGGGCUUGAAUGUACUUGAGGUAGGCGGAAUGUGGCAAGUAGCGGUGAAAUGCAUAGAUAUGCCACAGAACACCAAUUGCGAAGGCAGCUUACUAAAGUAUGAUUGACGCUGAGGCACGAAAGCGUGGGGAUCAAACAGG
rnacentral:rRNA from 1 species